AGUUGCUAGGCAAGACCAAAAUGUUGAACAAGAAAGACAAGGAAAAAAAGCUAGAUCGCUUCUAAUGAUUUGGCCAACUAUUUCAAAUUGGUUUAGACGGGCUGAUACCAGUGAUAAGCAAAGAAACCAAUUUAUGCGUUUUGGAUAAAGAAUUCACGACUUUUGGC